GGGAGUAAGAGUAGGAAUACGGUGCAAAUAUGAUGUAAGAGACCGGCUGCUAUUUCCAAUUUUGGUAUGCAACAUGACAGCCAGCCGGAGACGACGACGGCGGCGGCGAAGGACGGAGAGCUCGCCGUCUGAUUGAGCCGAUGGAGAUGGGGAUGAAUUCUGUGCAGCCAAAUGCUCAGUUUCAUGUGCCGCACAAGUCCCUCUCGUUGGAUAUAUGGCAAUAAGACAGAUAUUGUUAUCAGCAAGUAUGAGGGUAGCUUUAUGGUGAUGGUGACACAAAUAGGAUGCAUGGGAACCAUAUUAGCUGCCAGGAAAGAUGAAAGUGUUUUUUCUGAUCCAACCUACAAUGUUCUUUUUGGAAAGAGGGAUGAGCCGUUACUACUAGCUUGUGCACGCCAACUUAUCGAACACAUAAGCUCUGAUUUGUAAACUGUCCUUUGGCACCUGUACCACACUCCAUUUUCUUACAGACACGGUCAUUGAUGAUAUCUCUUGGUCUGAAGGAUCAUUCCCAGGUAUUAUUUGAACUUCCCUUCAUAUGACUGUAAUUCUCCGUGUUUUUCUCCUGAAUCUUGCCAAAUCAGCGAGCAUGGUCGACUGUACUGUGCAUAUCAGUGUUUCUGAGGCAACAAUGAAAUAUAUUGUUUCCACCAUAAUUGAGAACCGCCUAUAGUAAUAGUUUUGCAUAUCGAGCUGGGGUUGGAAUGGCUGGGCACAUAUCUAUUCACUUCAUCAACAGAGAUGUUGACAUGAUUAGUGCUGAGCAAUUAACACUCUCUUACCAAUCUAGAAUUUUGUAACUAUGAUUUCUUCGGAGUCGAUGUAUCACAAAGUAGUUAUAUAACCAAAGUUAUAGCGAGAAUUGCACUACUAGCUUUGAUGAGUAUUUCAUCUACGAACUUCUGAAUGCUAAUGGUUGUAUUCAUGUUGCUUUGCUAAUUUGUGGCCUAAAAUCGCUCGUUGAGCUCA